rnacentral:tRNA from 1 species
GGCCCGUUCGUCUAGGGGCCUAGGACGCCGCCCUCUCACGGCGGAAACAGGGGUUCGAAUCCCCUACGGGCUA